UUUAUUAAAGACUAACUACUAUAAAAACAUUUACUAAGGAUGUUUUUAUUAAUUAAGAACGAAAAUUAAGGGAUCGAAGACGAUUAAAUACUAUUAUAGUCUUAACUAUAAAUUAUACCAAUUAAGGAUCGGACAAUAUUAUUUUUUGACCCGUUCGGCACUUUACAAUAAAUUAAAAUAUUUAAGCUCCUAAAGGAAUAUAGUUAUAAGGUUGAAACUUAAAGAAAUUAAUAGAAGGGUACUACUAAAGGUAGAGCCUACGGCUUAAUUUAAUUUAAUACGGGGAAAUUUAUUAGGUCUAAAUACAAUAAGGAUUAAUAAAUUAAAAGCUCUUUCUUAAUUUUAUAGGUAAUAGUAUAUAGCCGUUCUUAAUUAGUAGAAUAAUUUAUCUACUUAAUUAUAAUAACGAACGAAACUUUAACUUACUAAAUAGCUUAUAUUACUUUAGUAGUACGCUAGCUUUUUAAAGGGACUAUUAAUUUAAACUAAUAGAAAUUUAAAGUAAUAACAGGUCUAUAAUACCUUUAAAUAUUUUAGGCCGUAUAUAUACUAUACUAAUAUAAUUAGCAAAUACUCCUUUAACCGGAAGGUCUAAGUAAUUUUAUUAAAUUAUAUUAUAUUAAGGAUAAAGUAUUACAAUUAUUAUUUUUCAACAAAGAAUCCCUAAUAAGCGCAAAUCAUUAAUUUAUAUUAAUUACAUCCCUACCCUUUAUAUAUACCGCCUAUCACUACUACUAAUUAAAUAACUUAAUAAAACUUCCGAAUUAGCCUAAAAAAGUCGGCAAUAACUACCUAAAGCCGGAAAAUUAUCCAAACUCAAUUAUUUAGAGGAAAUAAAAGUUAUAAUAAAAUCUCCGUUAAUAAAUUAGCGGAAGGAUUAUUA